rnacentral:snoRNA from 1 species
GGCCGGUGAUGUACAAAAUUUGUCCGUACCAUCUGAGAUUUUAUAUCUUUGAUGUGUCUAAAAGUUUAUUUCUGAGGCAU